rfam:Picea glauca, whole genome shotgun sequence.
ACUCUUGUGGUGUAAAUGGAAACACACCUCCUUUUAGAGGAGGAGAAUGGGGUUCAAAUCCAUCCUAUAGUU